GAUGCUUAACACAUGCAAGUCGAGUGCGCGGUGCCGUAGCAAUACGGUACUGGCGCACGGCGCACGGGUGCGUAACACGUGGGUAAUCUGCCCUCUGAUGGGGAAUAACCCGCCGAAAGGCGGGCUAAUUCCGCAUAACAUUCCUUGGACUCCGGUUCGGGGAUUCAAAGGCGUAAGUCGUCGGAGGUGGAGCCCGCGCCCGAUUAGCUAGUUGGUGAGGUAACGGCUCACCAAGGCAAUGAUCGGUAGCUGGUCUGAGAGGAUGGCCAGCCACACUGGAACUGAGACACGGUCCAG
rnacentral:rRNA from 1 species